AUCAGAGAACGAGAGGCAGAGCAUUAGGUACACGUGCGCUCCUGGAACAGAUGCCGUCCCGUCGCUGACAUUUCAAAGAAAACACACCAAUCCUGGGCCUGAAAAAUCCUUGGUGUGACUUCGCUCCCUCACGGAGCUGCGACAGCUGGACGGGGUUUACUUAGGCGCUGGAUUUCCCAGAGACGUGAGGAACGGAGGAAAUUAUGUUUACAGAGGGAGCGCGGUGCCCCUCGCUCAGAGGUGCUCGACCACUUUACAUCACAAAGGACCGAAAAACAGCGGCAGGGAAAGCUAAUUAUUCGCCCGGAACCAACAUUCCACCAGAGAGGCGGACGAAUGCAUACCAAGUAGGAAAUCGUUAUUUCUGCCUUUCACAAUGCGGGAAAUGAGGAGCAUGAAGCUUAUUCCUUGGUGGCAGAGACGGCUGCAGUCGAUGGUCAGACAUGGUUAAGCCCUCGUUUCGGCCAAUUUGGCACUCUGCUGGAGACCUGCAGACGUGGCCAAUCAGUGGCCGUAAUGGGAUCGCUAAUAAGCCUGAUUGUGCUCCGCUGUGCAGCUUUGAGACUGUAAUCAAUAUCUGAGCUGGCGUUGGAUUAUUGUUCUUGGUGUUUUCUGACUGCACGGAGCCGCUUUACUGUAACUGUUCACAUAUGCAGUUAAUCACUCAGGUGUUAUUACACAACUGACGUUGCAGCCAAAACAGUGUAACACAAAUGGACUUUCCUUUGCAUCUUCCUUCUUAAAUGCAGCAAUGUGUAUUCUGCACUUCAAGUGCGUUUUAAAAUUAAGCAGAAUGGGUCAUCGUGGACAGAAUCCGAGGCCCAGUUCCCUGUGUUUCCAUUAAAAAGUACCUAUGAA
ensembl:lncRNA